GGGCGCUGGCGGCCCCGGAGAAGAGCGGGCUGUGCCGCCCCUCUGGCCCUCUGGGUCGGUCCCUCAUCGGUGGGCCGGUGCUCCGCCCUGGGUCUCGCUUUCUCACGAGCGGCGGGUUUCCCACUCGCCCCGUUGGCUUUUGGAGUAAGAGAGAAGUAGAUAUCCUCGUUUACCGAGGGAUGACACUGAUGAUCUGCAUCCAAGAAACUCUCCCAAAGCAACAAGUCACACCACACAAAACAUGUAUUGGAAGCAGGCAGCCACACCCUGUCAUAGGCUUGCAGAAGAUCUGGUGGAGCAUAUCUGUCAGUCAUGACAAACGCUACAUCUGUCUUUCACUGUGUUCUUUCACAGGUGGAUCUCCUUCUUAGGGAAGAUGUCCAAGGAAGAGACCUCAGAGGACACAAGGCUUGGGUAAAGUGAAGGCCACUGCUGGCUGACACAUAUCAGGUCAAACUCUACAUUCUUCUUGUGUACCAUGUUCUUCUGUGUGCAUAUUUUGUCUUAAAAAAUACUUUUUAUAAUGGAAAAAUAAAACAAGCAAGAAGGAAAAGAAGAAAUUUCCAUGAAAGAAUAGGGGUAUGUAUGUCUCUGUAAGUAUUUGGCUAGCAAUAUGCCCAAUGAAAACAUCUCCUAAAUAUAGUACAAAAUAGCAUUACUGGAGACUUCGAGGUGAAAACAAUAAUCAGCUCCAGGAAAUAAGUUGUUCCAGCUUUAAUGGAAGCUUCACUCUGCUUUAAGGAGAAAGAAUAAUUUGGCCUAGAAAUGCAAUGAGAUUGCUUUCAACAUGAAUUUGUGAAAGCUGAAUUUUAUUAACAAAAGCUUUUUCACUAGAAAAAUCUUUAGAGUCUAAUUGAAAACCUCUGUCCCCUCAAGAAAUUUUAGAAGAACUUGCUUCCAAAUCCAUCCCCUGACACUGAUUUGGAUUAUUCUGUAGCACUUCACAGACUACCCUGAAAUUUAUAGCCUAAAAUUAGGCUGCUCAAAAAUCAAUUAAAGUGCAUCUUUACCUGGCAUCCCAGGGGGUCCAGGAGGUCCUGGGGGCCCUUGAUAGAGUCGAACUCCAAAGUCACCACGGCAGCAGGAACUACAGUCUGGAUUCUGUGGUCCAGUUUGUGGGGGCUAAGGGCACAAAAAUAAGCUUUAAAUAACUCAUUCAUGGAGGAAAUUGAUCAUAUGCUUGUCAGACACAGGCUCUUCAUUAUGUAGACUCUGCAUAUAUGCUAAUUUUCAAAAUGCUUAUCUGGACUGAAAUCUGCUAUACUUGGGUUCUCUCCAAAAAUGUUAUUUUCAAAAGAUUUAAGUGGGGGAAAGAAAUAAGUUCUGUCAAAUAAUGGGGGUUUUGAAAAUAAAAUAAUACGAAGCAAUGAAAGCUAGAUUAAUAUUCCAGUUAGGCAUCAAUACUACCUUUUGCUGACCCCACAUU